rnacentral:rRNA from 1 species
AGAGUUUGAUACUGGCUCAGGACGAACGCUGGCGGCGUGCUUAACACAUGCAAGUCGAGCGAUGAAGCACCUUCGGGUGUGGAUUAGCGGCGAACGGGUGAGGAACACGUGAAGAAUCUGCCUUCAACUCUGGGAUAACUCCGGGAAACCGGGGCUAAUACCGGAUAUGAGCCUUGGCCGCAUGGCCGGGGCUGGAAAGUUUUUCGGUUGAAGAUGACUUCGCGGCCUAUCAGCUUGUUGGUGAGGUAAUGGCUCACCAAGGCGACGACGGGUAGCCGGCCUGAGAGGGCGACCGGCCACACUGGGACUGAGACACGGCCCAGACUCCUACGGGAGGCAGCAGUGGGGAAUAUUGGGCAAUGGAGGAAACUCUGACCCAGCGACGCCGCGUGAGGGAUGAAGGCCUUCGGGUUGUAAACCUCUUUCAGUAGGGAAGAAGCGAAAGUGACGGUACCUACAGAAGAAGCACCGGCUAACUAUGUGCCAGCAGCCGCGGUAAUACAUAGGGUGCAAGCGUUGUCCGGAAUUAUUGGGCGUAAAGAGCUCGUAGGUGGUUCGAUACGUCGGAUGUGAAAAUCAGGGGCUCAACCCCUGACCUGCAUUCGAUACGGUCGAGCUGGAGUUUGGUAGGGGAGACUGGAAUUCCUGGUGUAGCGGUGGAAUGCGCAGAUAUCAGGAGGAACACCGAUGGCGAAGGCAGGUCUCUGGGCCAAUACUGACACUGAGGAGCGAAAGCGUGGGGAGCGAACAGGAUUAGAUACCCUGGUAGUCCACGCCGUAAACGGUGGGCGCUAGUUGUGCGAACCUUCCACGGUUUGUGCGACGCAGCUAACGCAUUAAGCGCCCCGCCUGGGGAGUACGAUCGCAAGAUUAAAACUCAAAGGAAUUGACGGGGCCCCGCACAAGCAGCGGAGCAUGCGGCUUAAUUCGACGCAACGCGAAGAACCUUACCAAGGCUUGACAUAUACAGGAAUACGGCAGAGAUGUCGUAGCCGCAAGGUCUGUAUACAGGUGGUGCAUGGUUGUCGUCAGCUCGUGUCGUGAGAUGUUGGGUUAAGUCCCGCAACGAGCGCAACCCUCGUCCUGUGUUGCCAGCAUUUAGUUGGGGACUCACAGGAGACUGCCGGGGUUAACUCGGAGGAAGGUGGGGAUGACGUCAAAUCAUCAUGCCCCUUAUGUCUUGGGCUGCACGCAUGCUACAAUGGCUGGACAAACGG